GAUGAACGCUGGCGGCGUGCCUAAUACAUGCAAGUCGAGCGAACAGAUAAGGAGCUUGCUCCUUUGACGUUAGCGGCGGACGGGUGAGUAACACGUGGGUAACCUACCUAUAAGACUGGGAUAACUUCGGGAAACCGGAGCUAAUACCGGAUAACAUUUGGAACCGCAUGGUUCUAAAGUGAAAGAUGGUUUUGCUAUCACUUAUAGAUGGACCCGCGCCGUAUUAGCUAGUUGGUAAGGUAACGGCUUACCAAGGCGACGAUACGUAGCCGACCUGAGAGGGUGAUCGGCCACACUGGAACUGAGACACGGUCCAGACUCCUACGGGAGGCAGCAGUAGGGAAUCUGCCGCAAGGGGCGAAAGCCUGACGGAGCAACGCCGCGUGAGUGAUGAAGGGUUUCGGCUCGUAAAACUCUGUUAUUAGGGAAGAACAAACGUGUAAGUAACUGUGCACGUCUUGACGGUACAUAAUCAGAAAGACACGGCUAACUACGUG
rnacentral:rRNA from 1 species